rnacentral:tRNA from 1 species
GCCUUCGUGGUGUAGUGGUCAGCACGCUCGACGUGUAUUUGAGAGGUCCGUGGUUCGAGUCCCAGCAAAGGCA